rnacentral:rRNA from 1 species
GGUUCGGUACGUUCGGUGUGAAAUCUCCCGGCUCAACUGGGAGGGUGCGCCGAAUACUGCCGGGCUAGAGUGCGGGAGAGGAGAGCGGAAUUCCUGGUGUAGCGGUGAAAUGCGUAGAUAUCAAGAGGAACGCCGGCGGUGAAGACGGUGCACUGGGCUUGUCCUGACGCUGAGACACGAAAGCGUGGGUAGCGAACGGGAUUAGAUACCCCGGUAGUCCACGCCGUAAACGAUGCCUACUAGGUUGUGGAAGUUCUGACGCUUUCACAGCCGAAGCAAAAGUGCUAAGUAGGCCGCCUGGGGAGUACGGCCGCAAGGCUAAAACUCAAAGGAAUUGACGGGGGCUCACACAAGCGGUGGAGCAUGCGGAUCAAUUCGAAGCAACGCGAAGAACCUUACUUGGGUUUGACAUGCUUGGAUGCCCUGCUGGAAACAGCGUGGGCUGCCCUUCGGGGUGAAACUUGCACAGGUGCUGCAUGGCUGUCGUCAGUUCGUGUCGUGAGAUGUCGGGUUAAGUCCCUUAACGAGCGAAACCCUUGCCGUUAGUUGCCAGCGGGUCAUGCCGGGGACUCUAACGGGACUGCCGGUGUAAAACCGGAGGAAGGUGGGGACGACGUCAAGUCAUCAUGGCCUUUAUGCCCAGGGCAUCACACGUGCUACAAUGGCGACUACAAAUCGACGCAAGGCCGCGAGGCGGAGCAAAUCGCAAAAAGGUCGCCCCAGUACGGAUUGUAGGCUGCAAUUCGCCUGCAUGAAGUCGGAAUCGCUAGU